GGGUUGUGAGGUUAAGCGACUAAGCGUACACGGUGGAUGCCCUGGCAGUCAGAGGCGAUGAAGGGCGUGCUAAUCUGCGAUAAGCGCCGGUAAGGUGAUAUGAACCGUUAUAACCGGCGAUACCCGAAUGGGGAAACCCAGUGUGAUUCGUCACACUAUCAUUAACUGAAUCCAUAGGUUAAUGAGGCGAACCGGGGGAACUGAAACAUCUAAGUACCCCGAGGAAAAGAAAUCAACCGAGAUUCCCCCAGUAGCGGCGAGCGAACGGGGAGGAGCCCAGAGCCUGAAUCAGCAUGUGUGUUAGUGGAAGCGUCUGGAAAGGCGCGCGAUACAGGGUGACAGCCCCGUACACAAAAGCGCAUGUGCUGUGAGCUCGAUGAGUAGGGCGGGACACGUGGUAUCCUGUCUGAAUAUGGGGGGACCAUCCUCCAAGGCUAAAUACUCCUGACUGACCGAUAGUGAACCAGUACCGUGAGGGAAAGGCGAAAAGAACCCCGGCGAGGGGAGUGAAAAAGAACCUGAAACCGUGUACGUACAAGCAGUGGGAGCACAGGUUUACCUGUGUGACUGCGUACCUUUUGUAUAAUGGGUCAGCGACUUAUAUUCUGUAGCAAGGUUAACCGUAUAGGGGAGCCGGAGGGAAACCGAGUCUUAAUUGGGCGUUAAGUUGCAGGGUAUAGACCCGAAACCCGGUGAUCUAGCCAUGG
rnacentral:rRNA from 1 species